rnacentral:rRNA from 1 species
GAUGAACGCUGGCGGCGUGCCUAAUACAUGCAAGUCGAGCGAACGGACGAGAAGCUUGCUUCUCUGAUGUUAGCGGCGGACGGGUGAGUAACACGUGGAUAACCUACCUAUAAGACUGGGAUAACUUCGGGAAACCGGAGCUAAUACCGGAUGAUAUUUUGAACCGCAUGGUUCAAAAGUGAACGACGGUCUUGCUGUCACUUAUAGAUGGAUCCGCGCUGCAUUAGCUAGUUGGUAAGGUAACGGCUUACCAAGGCAACGAUGCAUAGCUGACCUGAGAGGGUGAUCGGCCACACUGGAACUGAGACACGGUCCAGACUCCUACGGGAGGCAGCAGUAGGGAAUCUUCCGCAAUGGGCGAAAGCCUGACGGAGCAACGCCGCGUGAGUGAUGAAGGUCUUCGGAUCGUAAAACUCUGUUAUUAGGGAAGAACAUAUGUGUAAGUAACUGUGCACAUCUUGACGGUACCUAAUCAGAAAGCCACGGCUAACUACGUG